AGAAGUCCUCAGUCCAUGUGACUCCGAGUCUGACGGAAACUCGUUUAGUAAUUCAGUUCGUAGCACACUUCAGUGGAGAAUCCUGUUCAAAACCAUCAUUGCUCGCGUUACCGAAAACUCGCCAACGGAAUGCGGCAGACAAUAGGCAGAUUCAACUGGAAGCUUAGCAUUAGAGUUGCCAACAAUUAAACAUUCCAACCGGAAAGGUGACGAUCUUGCCAGUGUGACAAACGAUUGGAAUGGACUCUUCAUUUAAACUUUGUUCAACGUUUACGUAUAGUGGAAAAUCCAAGGUUGCAUGCAGUACUUUAAUAUAAAGGUAAGUAGCCUUGCAGUUUUUCGUCCCUUCUCUUUUGGAAGGCAAUCAGCUCUUUAUAAAGCAUUGAUGAAAUGUAUUUUUCUCCUGUGGCUUUUUAUUUGACAACGUUGUAACAAUAAAAAAUAUUUCUAAA